CCUACGGGUGGCAGCAGUGAGGAAUAUUGGUCAAUGGGCGCGAGCCUGAACCAGCCAAGUAGCGUGAAGGAUGACGGUCCUAUGGGUUGUAAACCUCUUUUAUCAGGGAAUAAAGUGCGCCACGCGUGCCUUUCCGUAUGUACCCUAUGAAUAAGGAUCGGCUAACUCCGUGCCAGCAGCCGCGGUAAUACGGAGGAUCCGAGCGUUAUCCGGAUUUAUUGGGUUUAAAGGGUGCGUCGGUGGGAAGUUAAGUCAGGUGUGAAAAUUGGCGGCUCAACCCGAUAGUUGCAGUUGAAACUGGCAGUCUUGAGUGCGCGAGAAGUAGGCGGAAUUCGUGGUGUAGCGGUGAAAUGCUUAGAUAUCACGAAGAACUCCGAUUGCGAAGGCAGCAUACUGGAGUGCAACUGACGCUGAUGCUCGAAAGUGUGGGUAUCGAACAGGAUUAGAUACCCGAGUAGUC
rnacentral:rRNA from 1 species